UACGUAGGGCGCAAGCGUUGUCCGGAAUUAUUGGGCGUAAAGAGCUCGUAGGCGGCUUGUCGCGUCUGUUGUGAAAGCCCGGGGCUUAACCCCGGGUCUGCAGUGGAUACGGGCAGGCUAGAGGCAGGUAGGGGAGAACGGAAUUCCCGGGUGUAGCGGUGAAAUGCGCAGAUAUCGGGAGGAACACCGGUGGCGAAGGCGGUUCUCUGGGCCUGUACUGACGCUGAGGCACGAAAGCGUGGGGAGCAAACAGG
rnacentral:rRNA from 1 species